rnacentral:lncRNA from 1 species
UCUGUUUUAAUGUUUUGUUCAUUUUCAUGGAGUGUAGGAACAAAGAGUUGAUGCUGACUUCAGGAGUCAUCCCACUGCUGGAGAGAAUGAUCUCAUGUUCCCACUCCCAAGGGCCAGCAACUGCGUUGUACCUAAACCUCUCCUGCCUGGAGAAAGCCAAGCCACUUCCUCUCUUUUGAUUUUUGUUUCUGUUUUCUCCUGUUUUUUUUUUCUGGGUCAUAACUCUUUUUUUAUAUCAAAGGUAAAUAAUCCAGAAUCCAUUUUUUUCUUUAGAAUUUGGAACAAAAAGGCCAAAACUUUGCGUUUGUGUUUGGUUUUGUCUUCUUUACUGGUCCCUUCAUGUGUUUUUUUGAAAGAAGAACAAUUGUUAAGGUUUGUUUAAGUUGUGGUUUGGAGAGUUUCCAGGUGAGGUUGGGAUCAUGGAUGUAAGCGAGCUUGAGGAGAAUUUGUUCGCUGCUAGCGAUGCCAAGGUAUAUAUAUAUUCUCAAUCACGUCACUCUCUCUCUCUCUCUCUCAAUGAUUCUUGUCGGUAGAAUCUAAUAUUAAAAAAAGGCUUUGUCUUUGUUGGAUUUGUUCUGUUUUUCAUGUUAUAGAAAUGUGAUUUUUUCCAAUAAAGUUCUUGCCUUUGAUAGAAAAUUGUGAAAAGUUCCAUCCUUUAUUUUUCCAUUGACUCUGUUAUUGUAUUAUGGGCUGAGAUUGUAAUUGGGGAUGAUAAAUCAGGAUUUUUAUUCUUCUUCUUUGAUAAGUUUGUGUGCUAUGGCCAUUGCUGACAAUGCAGUUACAUAGAGACAUGUGCAAGGAACUAUCUGCUGUUUAUUGCAAGGUACUGUCCAUCUUCCCUUCCUUGGAAGAGGCAAGACCUCGGAGCAAAUCAGGGAUUCAAGCCUUGUGCUCCUUACACAUUGCACUCGAAAAGGCAAAGAACAUUCUUCAACACUGCUCUGAGUCUAGCAAACUUUACUUGGUCAGUUUCCCUCCUUAUUACAUAGUCUCUUGAAUCCCUCCAUUUCAUUUGGCACUUCUGAAUCAGGCUAUAACUGGGGAUGCUGUACUGUUAAAAUUUGAGAAAGCAAAAUCUGCGCUUAUCGAUAGUCUUAGACGCGUGGAGGACAUUGUUCCUAGCUCUAUUGGCUCUCAGGUAUGUCUCUUUCAAUGCACAGCUCAAUGUUUCCUUUUACAAAAUACAAACACGCCCUCAUGUUUAUUAUACUUGUUUGAUUUAGAGUUCUGACUGAUUGAUUUUCUUCAGAUUUUGGAAGUUGUUGGUGAACUAGAACACACCAAGUUCUUGCUUGAUCCAUCAGAAAAAGAAGUUGGUGACAGAAUCAUUGCACUCUUGCAACAAGGCAAGAAAUUCGACAACGCCACUGACAACUCCGAGCUUGAAAUUUUCCACCAGGCAGCUACAAGACUCAGCAUAACUUCCUCUAGAUCAGCUUUAGCGGAGCGCCGUGCUUUAAAGAAACUCAUUGACAGGGCACGUGCGGAAGAAGACAAGCGUAAAGAGUCUAUCGUAGCUUACCUCUUGCACCUCAUGAGAAAAUACUCAAAGCUCUUCAGAAACGAGAUCACAGAUGAGAAUGACUCUCAGGGCUCACCACCAGCUUCCCCCACUGGUAAUGAAGACCGUGCUCAUCAUGCGUUUGGGCGUCAACUAUCUAAGUUUGGUUCUAUUAACUUUAAGAAGUCAGGACAGGUUCCCACUCCACCGGAAGAACUGAGGUGUCCCAUAUCGUUGCAGCUUAUGUGUGAUCCUGUCAUUAUUGCUUCUGGACAGACUUAUGAACGGGUCUGUAUCGAGAAAUGGUUCGGUGAUGGACAUAACUCUUGCCCCAAGACUCAGCAGCAGCUUCCACAUCUUUCGUUGACUCCUAAUUACUGUGUGAAAGGUCUGAUUGCGAGCUGGUGUGAGCAGAAUGGGAUCUCAGUCCCUGCUGAACCACCAGAGUCUCUCGACCUCAACUACUGGAGACUAGCACUGUCUGACACUGAAUCCGCUAAUUCAAAGUCAGUUGAUAGUAUAGGACCUUGCACACUGAAGGCUCCUGAAACCGUUCCUUUGGAGGAGCGUAGUACUAUUGACAAAGAAGAAGUCAAUGUGGCUGAUGUGGAUGAUGAGGUGACUUCUGAGAUCAAUGUUCUAGAGAAGUAUCAGGAUAUAUUGGCUAUCUUGGUGAAAGAGGAAGACUUAGCGAAAAAGUGCAAAGUAGUAGAAAAUGUCAGGCUAGUGCUGAAGGAUGAUGAAGAGGCCAGGAUCCUCAUGGGAGCCAAUGGAUUUGUUGAAGCGUUUUCACGGUUUCUAGGAUCAGCUGUUGAUGAAAACAAUGCAGCAGCACAGGAAACGGGAGCUAUGGCUCUAUUUAACUUAGCUGUCAACAAUCACAGGUCUGAUCUUCUUUCUAAUAUCAUUGUUCACCAACUCGAGUGACCGCUAGGACAAAACUAUUAUUACAUGUUGAAGUUUCUGUUUUAAUGUUUUGUUCAUUUUCAUGGAGUGUAGGAACAAAGAGUUGAUGCUGACUUCAGGAGUCAUCCCACUGCUGGAGAGAAUGAUCUCAUGUUCCCACUCCCAAGGGCCAGCAACUGCGUUGUACCUAAACCUCUCCUGCCUGGAGAAAGCCAAGCCAGUGAUUGGCUCAAGCCAAGCAGUUCCCUUCUUCGUAAAACUUCUUGUUCAGGGAGAACACACCGAGACCCAAUGCAAGCUAGACGCGCUUCACGCCCUCUACAACCUUUCCACCCA